rnacentral:misc_RNA from 1 species
GUAACAAUACGCCAACAAAAAUAUUUGAGGCGAUAACUCGCCCAAAAUUUUAAAGUAAUGGUUUUCCUAAAAAUCUCUAAAAGCUUUAUGACGUUGUAAGAACUCUAUCAUCUAACACCUUAUUAGAUAGUGAACCUAAAGAUUCGUACUCGAGGAGAGCUAAUGAUACAAUACCACCCAAAAGUACUACUCCAAACUAUUCGAGUCCUAAUCUAAUAUAAAUAUUAUCCACUAAGGAUAAA